rnacentral:rRNA from 1 species
AACGAACGCUGGCGGCAUGCCUAACACAUGCAAGUCGAACGAGACCUUCGGGUCUAGUGGCGCACGGGUGCGUAACGCGUGGGAACCUGCCCUUAGGGUCGGAAUAACUCCCCGAAAGGGGUGCUAAUACCGGAUAAUGUCUUCGGACCAAAGAUUUAUCGCCUUUGGAUGGGCCCGCGUUGGAUUAGCUAGUUGGGAGGGUAAAAGCCUACCAAGGCGGCCAUCCAUAGCUGGUCUGAGAGGAUGAUCAGCCACACUGGGACUGAGACACGGCCCAGACUCCUCCCGGAGGCAGAAGUGGGGAAUAUUGGACACUGCGCGAGAGCCUGAUCCAGCAAUGCCGCGUGAGUGAUGUAGGCCUUAGGGUUGUAAAGCUCUUUUACCCUGGAUGAUAAUGACAGUACCGGGAGAAUAAGCUCCGCCUACUUCCGU